rnacentral:lncRNA from 1 species
GUGCAAAAGGAGGUGGCACUGACAGGUGAAGCUCGAAGGGAGGUUGGAGAUAGAGGCACCCAAAUUGACUUUCAGUGUCCAGAUCACCAUGACAAGAAAGAAUGAUAUAGAUAUGCUCAUUUGCUUCUUAUUUUGUGAGACAAUGAGAUCUAACAUACCGGGAUUUCUUCUCUUUAAUUGACUAUGGACAUGCGUAUCUACAUUUAAU